GUAAAGCACUUUCAGUCGUGAGGAAGGUGGUAGUGUUAAUAGCACUAUCAUUUGACGUUAGCGACAGAAGAAGCACCGGCUAACUCCGUGCCAGCAGCCGACGGUAAUACGGAGGGUGCGAGCGUUAAUCGGAAUUACGUGGGACGUAAAAGCGCAUGCAGGUGGUUUGUUAAGUCAGAUGUGAAAAGCCCGGGCUCAAACCUCGGAAAUAGCAUUUAGAAAAACUGGCAGACUAGAGUACUGUAGAGGGGGUAGAAUUUCAGGUGUAGCGGUGAAAAUGCGUAGAGAUCUGAAGGAAUACCGGUGGCGAAGGCGGCCCCUGGACAGAUACUGACACUCAGAUGCGAAAGCGUGGGGAGCAAACAGGAUUAGAUACCCUGGUAG
rnacentral:rRNA from 1 species